GGCGGCCAUAGCGGAGGGGAAACGCCCGGUCCCAUUCCGAACCCGGAAGCUAAGCCCUCCAGCGCCGAUGGUACUGCACCCGACAGGGUGUGGGAGAGUAGGACACC
rnacentral:rRNA from 2 species